GGGUGCUUGAGGCUGGCUUUGAGCAUUGACAGGGCCCGGACAGGCGAAAGUCCCAGGAGAUAUGUCUAUCCACUGAGGCUGGCGUAUGAAUCUGAACAAUUCAGAUGUCAGUCUGUUCUUUGCAGGGAGGCAAGAUAUCCCCCUGCGGCAAUCAUU
rnacentral:antisense_RNA from 1 species